rnacentral:rRNA from 1 species
UACAGAGGUCUCAAGCGUUGUUCGGAUUCAUUGGGCGUAAAGGGUGCGUAGGCGGCGCGGUAAGUCGGGUGUGAAAUCUCGGAGCUUAACUCCGAAACUGCAUUCGAUACUGCCGUGCUUGAGGACUGGAGAGGAGACUGGAAUUUACGGUGUAGCGGUGAAAUGCGUAGAUAUCGUAAGGAAGACCAGUGGCGAAGGCGGGAUCUCUGGACAGUUCCUGACGCUGAGGCACGAAGGCCAGGGGAGCAAACGGG